AUGCACGCUGGCGGCGUGCCUAAUACAUGCAAGUCGAGCGAACAGACGAGGAGCUUGCUCCUCUGACGUUAGCGGCGGACGGGUGAGUAACACGUGGAUAACCUACCUAUAAGCCUGGGAUAACUUCGGGAAACCGGAGCUAAUACCGGAUAAUAUAUUGAACCGCAUGGUUCAAUAGUGAAAGACGGUUUUGCUGUCACUUAUAGAUGGAUCCGCGCCGCAUUAGCUAGUUGGUAAGGUAACGGCUUACCAAGGCAACGAUGCGUAGCCGACCUGAGAGGGUGAUCGGCCACACUGGAACUGAGACACGGUCCAGACUCCUACGGGAGGCAGCAGUAGGGAAUCUUCCGCAAUGGGCGAAAGCCUGACGGAGCAACGCCGCGUGAGUGAUGAAGGUCUUCGGAUCGUAAAACUCUGUUAUUAGGGAAGAACAAAUGUGUAAGUAACUAUGCACGUCUUGACGGUACCUAAUCAGAAAGCCACGGCUAACUACGUG
rnacentral:rRNA from 1 species